rnacentral:tRNA from 1 species
GAGGAUAUAGCUCAGUGGUAGAACUGCUGCCUAGCAUGCAUCAGGUCCUGGAUUCAAUCCCCAGUACCUGCA